GAUGAAGAACGUAGCGAAAUGCGAUAACUAAUGUGAAUUGCAGAAUUCCGUGAAUCAUCGAAUCUUUGAACGCACAUUGCGCCCCCUGGUAUUCCGGGGGGCAUGCCUGUCCGAGCGUCAUUACAACCCUCAAGCUCAGCUUGGUGUUGGGCCCCGCCGCCCCGGCGGGCCCUAAAGUCAGUGGCGGUGCCGUCCGGCUCCGAGCGUAGUAAUUCUUCUCGCUCUGGAGGUCCGGUCGUGUGCUCGCCAGCAACCCCCAAUUUUUUUCAGGUUGACCUCGGAUCAGGUAGGGAUACCCGCUGAACUUAAGCAUAUCAAUAAGCGGAGGA
rnacentral:misc_RNA from 1 species